CCUACGGGGGGCAGCAGUGGGGAAUAUUGGGCAAUGGGCGCAAGCCUGACCCAGCAACGCCGCGUGAAGGAAGAAGGCUUUCGGGUUGUAAACUUCUUUUGUCAGGGACGAAGCAAGUGACGGUACCUGACGAAUAAGCCACGGCUAACUACGGGCCAGCAGCCGCGGUAAUACGUCGGUGGCAAGCGUUAUCCGGAUUUACUGGGUGUAAAGGGCGUGUAGGCGGGACUGCAAGUCAGAUGUGAAAACCACGGGCUCAACCUGUGGCCUGCAUUUGAAACUGUAGUUCUUGAGUACUGGAGAGGCAGCCGGAAUUCCUAGUGUAGCGGUGACAUGCUUAGAUAUUAGGCGGAACACCAGUGGCGAAGGCGGUCUGCUGGACAGCAACUGACGCUGAGGCGCGAAAGCGUGGGGAGCAAACAGGAUUAGAUACCCCGGUAGUC
rnacentral:rRNA from 1 species